rnacentral:piRNA from 1 species
UGUAAUAGGAUGCUAAACCCA